CGCGAGAGCAAGCGGACCUCAUAAAGUAUGUCGUAGUCCGGAUUGGAGUCUGCAACUCGACUCCAUGAAGUCGGAAUCGCUAGUAAUCGUGGAUCAGAAUGCCACGGUGAAUACGUUCCCGGGCCUUGUACACACCGCCCGUCACACCAUGGGAGUGGGUUGCAAAAGAAGUAGGUAGCUUAACCUUCGGGAGGGCGCUUACCACUUUGUGAUUCAUGACUGGGGUGAAGUCGUAACAAGGUAACCGUAGGGGAACCUGCGGUUGGAUCACCUCCUUACCUUAAAGAA
rnacentral:rRNA from 1 species